AGCUCCAAUAGCGUAUACUAACGUUGUUGCAGUUAAAAAGCUCGUAGUUGGAUUUUUAAGGAUCCAUGGUCGUCGCGGCCUUUCGUGUCGUGUACGACCCCUGGGUCUCUUAUUUUGCGGCAUCUGCCGGUUGGGCUUAGUUGUUCGACCGGUCUGAAGCCGCGUGUUUACUUUGAGAAAAUUAGAGUGUUCAAAACAGUCCCUUGAUUGUAUAUCAUAGCAUGGAAUAAUAACUGAUGACUUCGGUCAAUUUUUGUUGGUUUAGUGACUGAUGUAAUGAUUGAUAGAGUUAGUCGGAGGUAUUAGUAUUUAAUCGUUAGAGGUGAAAUUCACGGAUCGAUUAAAGACUAACAACUGCGAAAGCAUUUAUCUAGGAUUUGCUCUUUGAUCAAGAACGAAGUUAGGAACG
rnacentral:rRNA from 1 species